AUUGAACGCUGGCGGCAGGCUUAACACAUGCAAGUCGAGCGGAGCGAGGGUGCUUGCACCUUAGCUUAGCGGCGGACGGGUGAGUAAUGCUUAGGAAUCUGCCUAUUAGUGGGGGACAACAUUCCGAAAGGAAUGCUAAUACCGCAUACGCCCUACGGGGGAAAGCAGGGGAUCUUCGGACCUUGCGCUAAUAGAUGAGCCUAAGUCGGAUUAGCUAGUUGGUGGGGUAAAGGCCUACCAAGGCGACGAUCUGUAGCGGGUCGGAGAGGAUGAUCCGCCACACUGGGACUGAGACACGGGCCAGACUCCGACGGGGGGCAGCAGUGGGGAAUAUUGGACAAUGGGCGGAAGCCUGAACCAGCCAUGCCGCGUGUGUGAAGAAGGCCUUUUGGUUGUAAAGCACUUUAAGCGAGGAGGAGGCUACUUAGAUUAAUACUCUGGGAUAGUGGACGUUACUCGCAGAAUAAGCACCGGCUAACUCUGUGCCAGCCGCCGCCGUAA
rnacentral:rRNA from 1 species